AUGGCGGGGCGGCUUGCUGCCUUGCCGGAGGCGGGCACCACCGGCGCCAUGGCUCCCUCCCCGCAGCGCAACCUCUACCUCGACUCCAUCCGGUGUGUCGCUGUGUCAGGAGGGCGGAUCGUAUCGAUUGCCGUCCACUCCGGACUCAGCUGCUCCGUUGAUUCCAGUUCCGCCCCCUCGGAUUCUUACGCAUCCAAAGUCACGGCUUCCUCGGCCGGUUCGUCGUGCGCCGCCGCAGCAGAACUUGGUGCCCACGAGCUCACCAAGAUCGGUCGCCGAAUGAUCAGCGAUGGUUACACCCGGCGUAUGGCCUUGGAGUACUCCGGUGGCUCUGAUGGUGCGCUGGAGACCCUGUUCUCUGAGCUCGACGUGGACUGGGUUCUCCAAAUCCCCGAGGGCCGUGGCUCACGGCGGAAGCUCCAGCUCAACGACUUAGCCGAACGGUGGGUUCGAGCUUUCAUCGUAAUUCUCACCUGUAUUGUAGAGGAGCAGCCAUCGUCACCGUCCGCAAGAUUUGGCAAAGCGAGCAUCAACAAGAUGCUCGUCUUCGUCGACGCCGUCGUCUCUCCUCAAGAGGAGAAAACACUGUCACUACGGGACCUGCUAGAUAUGUAUAUCUGUGUCUCCAGUGCAGCGUACAAUCUUACGGGAACGCUCUCGUUGUCCCCGGGAGUCCAGCACAUUUACAGCGGGAUAGCCUGCUCGUUAUCCAGAGAAGGAGACAAGUUAAACAGAGCCAUGUAUAGCAGGAUGGAGGAGGUGUGGGCACUCAUGGAGAACGACGACUCGUGGGCUUUUGAGAUUCGACGAGGAGGAGGUAAGGUUCACCCAAACACUCAGUUGAUGGUGGAUUGCAUCCUGUCCAUAGUUGAAGCACUGGGCUGGGCAGGGAACUACGCAUGGUUCCAGGACACUACAAACCUUCGUCGCCUAAUAGAUGAAAACGUCCAUUAUCUUAAGGAAUUCCUAUUGAGGAAGUCAGUGCUAUGCUCUGAUCCAACACUGAGGUACCUCUUCCUGCUCAAUAAUUCCUAUUUAGUGGCACAACUGUUUGAGCUACGCCCUGGAGACCACUGGGGACUCACACCUCAAUGUGAGAAGUACAUGGAUGGCUAUCUUGAUGUCUCUUGGAGACCCGUCUUGUCUCAUAUACCGCAGAUGGCUUUCAUGGAGGGCUAUCAGGACGUUCCACGGGGACAUGUGAUGUUCUGCAUUCCAAAAACGUUUUCACAUACACCGUUCCAACGUCUGAUGAAGACCACCUCUCCACUGGCUAAAUUUGAUUCAGCAUUUCGGAAAGCGUACCAGGCUCAGAAGUUCUUGAAGGUUCCAGACCCUUGGCUUCGAUCUGUGCUUCGCGAGACUAUAACCAAAAGAAUCAUUUCACGUUACCGCGACUACCUCGCCUACCUGAAGAAUCAUCCGGAGCUAGAGAAACAUGUCAGCCAUAGAUGCAGCAGUACCAACCAAUUGAAGGAGAUGCUGGGAGAGCUAUUUGAAGGAUAA
rnacentral:rRNA from 1 species